rnacentral:rRNA from 1 species
UACGAAGGGGGCUAGCGUUGCUCGGAAUUACUGGGCGUAAAGGGCGCGUAGGCGGAUAUCUAAGUUGGGGGUGAAAUCCCGGGGCUCAACCUCGGAAUUGCCUUCAAAACUGGGUAUCUUGAGUUCGGGAGAGGUGAGUGGAAUUCCCAGUGUAGAGGUGAAAUUCGUAGAUAUUGGGAAGAACACCGGUGGCGAAGGCGGCUCUCUGGACCGACACUGACGCUGAGGCGCGAAAGCGUGGGGAGCAAACAGG